GGACCCGCACAAGCGGUGGAGCAUGUGGUUUAAUUCGAUGCAACGCGAAAAACCUUACCUACACUUGACAUACUUCGAAUUUUCUAGAGAUAGAUUAGUGCCUUCGGGAGCGAAGAUACAGGUGCUGCAUGGCUGUCGUCAGCUCGUGUCGUGAGAUGUUGGGUUAAGUCCUAUAACGAGCGCAACCCUUACCCUUAUUUGCCAGCGGUUAGGCCGGGAACUAUAAGGGAACUGCCGGUAAUAAGCCGGAGGAAGGUGGGGACGAGCGUCAAGUCAUCAUGGCCCUUACGUGUAGGGCUACACACGUGCUACAAUGGUAGGUACAGAGAGCAGCCAAUGCGCGAGCAUGAG
rnacentral:rRNA from 1 species